CAACAAGGCCCCACAUGUCCAUUUGAAGCAUUAGUUGAAGUUAGAGUCGAUCAAAAGAAUCAACAAGGACAAGUGAGUGAACUUGCAUUAAAUUAUUUUUAGGAAAUACAUAUGAGCUGAGAUGAAGCACUUAAAUAAUUAUAUUUGACUUUUUUUUCUUUAAAUCAUGCCUAGGAACAAGCCCUUGAUGAAAUGUUUUAUGUUGUAAAAUGUGUAAGGUGAUGAACCUAUGUGUUCCUAUAUUUUGAUGAUAUAUAUGUUAUGCUCUGAAUGAUAAUAUUGUGUGAUACUUGUAACUGCGUGUGUGCAGUGUGGGAGUGCACAUGCCAGUGAUGGCGGGUGAUUCUAGCUAUGCGCAGUGUGGAAGUGCACAUGAGCUGAUGACCGGUGGAUGAUGAUUCCAGCUAUGUACAGUGUGGGAGUGCACAUGAGCUGGUGAUCGGUGGGUGAUGACUCCAGCUAUAUGCAGUGUGGGAGUGCACAUGAGUUGAUGAUUGGUGGAUGAUGAUUCCAAUUAUGUGCGGUGUGGGAGUGCACAUGAGUUGAUGAGCCAGUGGUUGUAUACAUGUUUACACAUACCAUAGAAAUGUUAGAGAAAAUAUUAUGUGAUUGUAAUGAAUGUUGAAUGUUAAAAUUGUUAAUUGCUUCCAAAUUGAUUUUCAUUGCAACGAGAAACUCUCUAUCUUGCCUGUCUUGCUUGGAUAUUUGCUGUAGUUUUUACUCUUUUCAACUUCGUUGUUGAUCAUAGAUCCUUCACUUUAAGGGAUUAAAUAACCAAAGGUUGAAUUAAGGGGUUUUACAAGAAAUUAAGCUAAAUUGCAUUGUUUUUACAUUAAGUGCAUCAUGUUUCUACAACUUUUCGUAUCGGUUGCUUGUUUUUUUCCUAUGUUCACUCAUUGGGUUUAUACUCACUCUUUUAAACUUCAUGUUUUCAGAGUCGGAAGCAGUUGGGACCUAAAUUGAGGUGUCCACGUAUAUUCAUCUUUUUGGUAGGUACCAUGACAUUCAGUAGUUGUACCUUCGCCCAAAGUCACUCUGCUGGUAGUCGAGAGUCUUUUGCCCGUGUAUGCGUACAUGUGAUGUAAAUCACUAAGAUUCAUAGUAUAAACAAUAUAUGUAUAUUUUGAUUAAUGAUGCCACUAUGAGUUGACAAUGGGUGAUAUUAUUUUGGAU
rnacentral:lncRNA from 1 species